rnacentral:tRNA from 2 species
ACGGGAGUCGUCUAACGGCAGGACAUCUGACUCUGACUCAGACAGUUAAGGUUCGAAUCCUUACUCCCGUGCCA